rnacentral:rRNA from 1 species
GCAACUCGCCUGCAUGAAGCUGGAAUUGCUAGUAAUCGCGGAUCAGCAAGCCGCGGUGAAUACGUUCCCGGGCCUUGUACACACCGCCCGUCACACCAUGAGAGUCGGGAACACCCGAAGUCCGUAGUCUAACCGCAAGGGGGCGCGGCCGAAGGUGGGUCCGGUAAUUGGGGUGAAGUCGUAACAAGGUAGC